rnacentral:rRNA from 1 species
GGUAGCAAUAGUUUUCGAGACCGGCGCACGGGUGAGUAACACGUAGGUAACCUACCCUCAGGCGGGGAACAACCACGCGAAAGCGUGGCUAAUACCGCAUAACGCAAUGAAGUCACAUGGCUUUGUUGUUAAAGAUUCGCAAGGAUCACCAGAGGAUGGACCUGCGCCCGAUUAGCUAGUUGGCGGAGUAACAGCCCACCAAGGGGACGAUCGGUAGCCGACCUGAGAGGGUGAUCGGCCACACUGGAACUGAAAUACGGUCCAGACUCCUACGGGAGGCAGCAGUGAGGAAUAUUGGUCAAUGGCCGAAAGGCUGAACCAGUAACGCCGCGUGAGGGAUGAAGGUCUAAGGAUUGUAAACCUCUGUUAGGAGGGACGAAUAGUUCUGUAACGAACUUACGGGAUUUGACGGUACCUCCAGAGAAAGCCCCGGCUAACUCCGUGCCAGCAGCCGCGGUAAUACGGGGGGGGCAAGCGUUGUCCGGAAUUAUUGGGUGUAAAGGGUGCGUAGGCGGAAUGGUAAGUCAGAAGUGAAAUACUCGCGCUUAACGCGGGUUCUGCUUUUGAUACUGCUGUUCUUGAGUGCAGAAAAGGGAAGUAGAAUUCUCGGUGUAGCGGUGAAAUGCGUAGAUAUCGAGAAGAAUACCAGUAGCGAAGGCGGUUUCCUGGUCUGUAACUGACGCUGAGGCACGAAAGUGUGGGUAGCAAACAGGAUUAGAUACCGUGGUAGUCCACACUGUAAACGAUGGACAUUAGAUGUCGGAUCGCAAGGUUCGGUGUCGCAGCUAACGCAUUAAGUGUCCCACCUGGGAA